rnacentral:rRNA from 1 species
AGCAGCCGCCCGGUAAUACGAAGGGUGCAAGCGUUACUCGGAAUUACUGGGCGUAAAGCGUGCGUAGGUGGUGGUUUAAGUCCGUUGUGAAAGCCCUGGGCUCAACCUGGGAAUUGCAGUGGAUACUGGGUCACUAGAGUGUGGUAGAGGAUAGUGGAAUUUCCGGUGUAGCAGUGAAAUGCGUAGAGAUCGGAAGGAACAUCUGUGGCGAAGGCGACUAUCUGGGCCAACACUGACACUGAGGCACGAAAGCGUGGGGAGCAAACAGGAUUAGAUACCCGCGUAGUCCCUGUCUCUUAUACC